rnacentral:lncRNA from 10 species
GCCGGGUGUGGUGGCGCAACCCUGUAAUCCCAGCUAUUGGGGAGGCUGAGGCACAAGAAUCGUUUGAACGCAGUUGGUGGAGGUUGCAGUGAUCUGAGAUUGUGCCAUUGCACUCCAGCCUGGGUGACAGAGUGAGACUUUUUCAAAAGAAAAAAAAAUCAACUUUGUCAGAUAUCUUUACAGAUCAGCCAGAGAAGAGGAAAACAUUAUCUUUAUCUUUUUUUUUUUUUUUUUGAGACAGAGUCUCCCUCUGUCACCCAGGCUGGAGUGAUAUGGUGCGAAUCUCGGCUCACUGCAACCUCCGCC